GCUCCUCUGCACCAGGAGGUAGACAGGAGGAGAAGAGGUUAGAGGAGGAUAAAUGGUUAGAGGAGAGGAGGUUAGAGACUGAGAGGAGGUAGAGAGAUGGUUAGAGGAGAGGAGGUUAGAGACUGAGAGGAGGUAGAGAGAUGGUUAGAGGAGGUAGAGAGAUGGUUAGAGGGGGAGAGGAGGUAGAGAGAUGGUUAGAGGGGGAGAGGAGGUAGAGAGAUGGUUAGAGGGGGAGAGGAGGUAGAGAGAUGGUUGGAGGAGAGGAGGUUAGAGACUGCGAGGAGGUAGAGAGAUGGUUAGAGGAGGUAGAGAGAUGGUUAGAGGAGGUAGAGAGAUGGUUAGAGGAGGUAGAGAGAUGGUUAGAGGAGGAAGAGAGAUGGUUAGAGGAGGAGAGGAGGUAGAGAGAUGGUUAGAGGAGAUAAGCGACCGAGAGGAGGAUGUUGACCACCAGGCUGUCCGACAGCAGGCUCCUUACCGUUCAACACCCGCUCACAUGUCACCAUCUUGAUAUCGAUCAGCUCCUGGAAGGGAAAGGACAGACAAUGAGGACAUGACCGGGCUACCGGUGGAGCUGGGGGGCUACUAGGGUCCGUACCCACCUCACAGUACACGAUGUCCGCUCCGUAGUCCAGCGCCAGCAGUCUCAUCGGCAGAGUGCCGACCCGCACCAUCGGGGCCAGGGCGGUGAUGUCCCUGAAGCACAGACCCCCUGAUGUUGC